UCUACAAAGGCGGAGGCCGGAAGUGCAGCAGAGUUGGCUCCUGCCUGGGCUGGGGUCCCCGGGGGCGUGAGGCUGGCAUGGCCGCGCUGCGAAGGCACGUGUUUGUUGGAAAAGUACUGAAGAAACUUUACCCUGAGGUUUCACACGGCCAAGAAAAGAAGGCGCCUGUGACUCCAGCCUCCAGAAACCCAUCUGAGAAAGUGGCUCCUGAAAGAGAGAAGGGCCAGAGUGUCCCUCCUGAGACAGGUGGUGACACUCGGGUCCAGCCCAUGCAGCGGCUCUAUACCGUGGGCCUGCCUCCUAAGGGGUGGGUGCCCCCUCUGCUGGAGCCACCGAGCUGCUCAAGUUCAGAGAGCUCUUCCAACAGUGAGGACACAGGAGAUCAGGAUCUUCACAAUCUGCCAAAGAGAAGAAGAAUUAGAAAGCAUAAAUCAAAGAAAAAAUUUAAAAAUCCCAAUAACACCCAUGUAAAACCAGCAGAAUCAGAGAAACAGCAGAGUCUUCUGCAAGAAAAAUUGCAACCACGGCACACAGAUGGCCCCACAAUAAGCAAAAAUAAAAAAAGGAAACUCAAAAAGAAACAGCAAAUGCAAAGGAAGAAAGCAGCUGGCUCACUAACAGGAGCCUCUAGCGUGCACUUCAUGUACCAGCCUGAAGAGACCAGCAGUGAGCAGGAGGAUGUGCGAGCGACUGAUGGAGAGAAUGCUGGGGGUGCCACGGCGGGCGGGGCUGCGGGCGCUGUGGAGGAGCAGGUCCUGCCCCUUGAGGAGGGAGGAGUCCCGGAUGCUGAGGAGGAAGAGGUGAAAAGUACCAAUGAAAAGGCAGAUGGUAUCCUGAACUUUUUGAAGUCAACACAAGAAAUUUAUUUUUAUGAUGGUGUCUCCAAGGAUUCUGAUUCUGGUGUCUUUAUGGAAAGCACCAACAAGCUAUUUAAACAACUGGAAACUCACAGUGUGUCUCCCUCAGACGUGUUCAUUCUGGAUCACAUGAAAACGCUGCUACUUUUGCACGACACCAAGAGAUUGAAGAGUGCCCUGGACUUGUUCCCGGAACACUGCAGGAUGCCACUCGAAUAUGCCCAAGUAAUCUCAGCUUUCUUUAAUUACUGGAUCACACAUAUCCUUCCUGAGAAAAACGAUGAAUGAAAUCAGUGUAUCUGUUUAAAAAGAGCUAAUAUUUGACAAGAAACUAGAAAAGACAGAUGCACCAUUCUCCAGGGUUCCGUUUCUCCCUCACCUCACUGUGUUCUUAAGAGGUGUCUGUCCCACUAAGUGGAACCUCCUAGAGUCAGAUGAAUCAGCAAGGAUGCCCUACUGGUUCUGGAGAUCUGUCAACUUAAGACUGGUUUCUGUGAAGCUACCCAGGCUUAAUAAAAGUUGGCAAGUGGAGCCGCAAACCAGGCCUGGACAAGGACAGGCCCAACCAGGAUGUGCCACCAACCAGGACAGGGCCAUAAGCCAGGAGAGGUGACCGACCAGGUCAGGUCCACUGACCAGGAUGGGUCACUAGCCUGGACAGGUCCACCGACCAGGACAAAUCCACCAACUAGGACAGGCCACCAACCAGGAGAGGUCCAUCAUUCAGGAUGGGCCACCAAGCAGGAUGGGCCUACUGUACCCAGGGGCUGCCUCCUUGAGAGUGGAUGAUGAUCCAUUUUCCCCAUGGAGAUGGAAAAAGAACACAGCCACACCCCGAAGUAGGAGCUGUGGCAGCUUCCUGUCUACACCCACAACAGCCUUCACUUACCCCUCAAUGGAGACAUACUCAGCUGCUGCCACUGCCUCUUCCUCUUUCCCUGAGAUGUCAUAUUGGUGAGGUCAGAGGCCGGGGAAUCAUGUCCCCUUCACCGCAGGGUUGAGAGGUCACUGGCAGGCAGGUGAUGUCAGCCUGCUGCCUCCUCUCCAGAACAUCCCACUGCCUUGGGCAGGACACCUGGCUUUCUGAUUCACCAGGUUGUAAUUCUUCUAUUAAGAUGCCUCCCAAUUAAUGACACAUUUGCUGGUAUAAAAAUAAAGUAUUGGCUGAUUCAUAA